rnacentral:lncRNA from 7 species
CAGUACUGUUCUUAACCCUAGCAUGUGAGCUAGCCGCCGCCCGUCCAUCGUCCUCACGCGUCACGAGGAGUCGAUGCAGCGAGCCGCGUGCGUGCGGGAAUCGAGCUCGAGGUGAAGAUGGAUCGUCGGAUGGUUGAAUGACAGGUUGGGCAGGUCAAGCGUCUUAUGCAGCCCUACAGCCUACAUGUGAGGACGCGAGGCCAGGUUACGUUUUCAAGAAAUCCAAAU